rnacentral:lncRNA from 1 species
UUGCAUUGAAGCACAUGGCCUCCUAGCACACAGACAGAGAGGAGAAAGGGCCCUUCUGCUCACACCCAGCCCACACCACAGGAGCACCUAGACCAACUCUGGUAAAUACGGGAGGGGACUACACAAGGGUGUGAACACCAGGAGGCAGAGACCAUGGGGGCCAUCUUGGAGCCUGGCUACCGCGGAUGGGAUAUGAUCAGAUGGGAAAAUGUCUUGGAUAAGAGCCACCCUCCAUCUCCUGCCAAUACCCGUGCCAGGGCACCGUGUGAGAUGGGAGUAGAGAAAAACACCUGGAGAGUCCUGCCAAUACCCGUGCCAGGGCACCGUGUGAGCUGGGAGUAGAGAAGGUAAAAACGCCUGGAGAGUCCUGCCAAUACCCGUGCCAGGGCACCGUGUGAGCUGGGAGUAGAGAAGGUAAAAACACCUGGAGAGUCCUGCCAAUACCCGUGCCAGGGCACCGUGUGAGCUGGGAGUAGAGAAGGCCUGGCUGACAGCUGCGUGCAGUCAGAGGGGUCGCUGGCCCAUCACAGUCCAUCUUCCGGUAUCAUCUGCGGUGCUGACAGCCCACGUGAGAAGCUGACAUUGGGCCUUCUACUCUUAACAUCCCUGAGUCCAGACAGAAGUCCCCACACGAGUCUGCAGAUGCUGCUGCUGAGGUUAAGUGUUGGGAAACAUGGGUGUUCUGAGUGCUGAGCCCUCUCAGCUCCCCCUGGGGAAUAUGCUUCUGCCCAUUCCCAAACUCCUGCUCCUGAGAGCCCUCCAGCAUGGCUUUCGCUCCAUCGCCCACUGUCUGCAUUCUGAUUCAAAGAGUAGGCACUAGGAAGACAGUCAAAAAAGCACGAGGCACUAAUGUUGAAAGGAACUGUAGAUAUCAGAGCAGAGAGAGAAAGAGAAUGUGAAUCAAUCCAUGUGAUUUUGUUGACCAGGAAGGGGCCAGCUCCAUGAUGAAGAACGAUGCUGGCUGUGUGGCCUGCUGUCAUGUUUUAGCUGAAAAGGCAAGUGCUCCCGUGCUGGGGAUGAGAAAGAGGCAGGUUCUCCAGGGCCACAAAGCUCUCCUCGAUGCCGAGCCUGGGCUUCCUCCCGUGUUCUCUGCGAUUCCGAACCCCGCACCUAGGACCACAGUGUCAUCUCACAGCAUCAGCGCCACCUACUCUCUUUGGGGUUCUAUUCUAAGGAGCUUCCUUGGUGUCUGAGAGAAUCAAUGACUCUCCUCCUUUUCCCCCAACUGUGUAUUCAAAAAGGCUCUCAUUCUGAACCUAUUCUCAACUGGCUCUAGGUUGGUUCGCUUAGAAACAUUCUGGAAAUCUGAAGUCUGACAGCAAGCGGCUUGCCUUCCUCUGGUUUUCAUUAAGCCA